rnacentral:rRNA from 1 species
UAGUAUUUUUAUUAAAGGUAUAUUCUGCCCUAUGAUUAUUUAAAUGGCUGCAGUAUUCUGACUGUGCAAAGGUAGCAUAAUAAUUAGUCUUUUAAUUGAAGGCUUGUAUGAAUGAAUUAAUGAGAAACUUAUUUUAUAAUUUAUAUUUUUAUAAUUUAAUUUUUAAGUAAAAAAGCUUAACUUUUUUUCUGGGACGAUAAGACCCUAUAGAACUUUAUUUUAUUUUGAUUAUAGUCUUUUUUAGUUUAUUUGUUGGUCUUUAUUUAAAUAAUUUUUUGUUGGGGUGAUAAAUAAAUUUUAAUACUUUAUUUAAUUUUUUCAUUUAUUUAUGUUUUUAUGAUCCAUUUUCAUGAUUUUAAGAUUAAGUUACCUUAGGGAUAACAGCGUAAUUUUAAUGAGGAGUUCUUAUUUAUAUUAAAGUUUGCGACCUCGAUGUUGAAUUAAGAUAAAAUUUGGGGGCAG